GAGAAGAGCAUUCGGAGUGCAAGGAAAGAUGGUAUCUGCGUCAGCGCGGUCGGGGAUCAGCGGAUCGGAUCGAGUCGCUCAGCGGGGGUUUCUUUGGGUCAUGCACGAAAUUUAAUCAAUCUUCCAAGAGGAUUUCGGGAGUUCCUCGCCAACCCACGGAAACCACCACCGGCGGCUUCGGGAUCCCCGUGAAACGGUUCGUCCUCCCAUCGCCGUCGACUUGGUUCACUUUGCGAAGAAGCUGCGGGGCGAGAACGAACACCAGCGAACCGUAAUCGCGAAGGACUAAUGCGCGUCCUUUGGCCGACUACAAAUCGGAUCUGAUGGAAGGGGCGGAUUGGAGGAAGCGAAAAGAGGGAAUAAAGGUCGCGAAGGGAGCAACCGUGAGAGGAGGAUGGAGGACGGGACGGGACGGCGAUGAGAACGGUGGAAAAAAAGGAGGCGGCAAGCCUCUCGCGAUCCACAGUUCGUUCCAAGCCUAAUGUCCCUCUCCAUCGAUGGAUACCGCGACGUCCACGUGUUUCUGGGCCCACGAAGCCCGUGGGUCUCGAUAAACGUACUUAAGAUGCAUCGAAAUUGUCAAUCGGCUGCAAGGACAGAGGAAACGAGCGAUCGAAGGGUCGUUAUCGGCGUGUCGCGACGUCCGAUCUUGGGGCCUACCGGUCGAAACGAAGGAUCCAAAGAGGAACCUGGCCACCGACGAAAAAGUGACAGCUCGCAUACCGGGCAUUUUUUCCGAUAACUCCUACCCUUACCCCUCGCGUAGAAGAGGAACGUGUUCUACGCGCCUGCACGCUUAUAUGUAUACGCAUACGUACCUACACUCGCGACUGUCGCGCAAGAAGUUGUUCGACCGGCGCGUACUUUUUAUUCUCCUCCGUCGCCCUCCCUCUCCGCCUCUUGCCGCGACAAGGAGAGAUAGAGAAAGAGGAAAAGGAGAAUGAUAAAGGGAAGGCGAGAGGGGGGAAAGUACAGAGGAAAAUAAAAAGAGCCGGCAAACCUCCCCGCGUCGCGGGCCCUCUCUCUUUCGUUGGCAUGAAGCGCGUGUCAUAUCCCACGUAAGUGAAGUGCACAUACGCGAGCCCACGGGAGAGACACGUCCUGCCAUAAGCCACGUCCCCGCGCAUAAUUGACGCGACUUUCUCUCGGGAAGCUCGAUAUCGUCGAGCCCACCCGGUCUGAACGCGCGCCGAUCACGACUCCAUCCCACCAACCAUCCCUCCUGAUUUUAGCAAAACGUUGCGAUAAAGUGGCUAUAAAUAAAAUACACGCGUUCUUUUUUUCGUCACCAGUUCAACCAAAGUGUUAAAUCGUGGAACUUGGAUUCGAGGCUUUCACGGGUGUUUCAAUUAUUAUAUCGACUCGCAGACGCGCGCUGGUGUUUUCGCUCCGUCCUCUUCUUUGUUCGCUAUCCUUCUCUACGUUAGAGAAUAUUCAAAGUCUACGAUAACUGCACAAGGUCGGUGUCGGUGUUGUCAUCAGUGCACAAAAUUUUUAAAUCGUGGAACUUGGAAGAACAUUUGAAGUCUACGAUAACUGCACAAAGUCAGUCCCCGAGCUUGUGCAGUUACGGAGACAUUACUGUACACGUGCUCUACUAGGAAGACUUGGAGAAAAUGUAAA